CAUUGACACAGCUCUCAAUCUAUGGGUGGCAAAAUAUUUGCUUACUAAUGAUCACUCCUCAUACCAUUUUACUUUGAGGAAUACUUCGGUGGUAAAUAUUGAGGCUGCGAAUGACUCAUUGACACUGGACCAGACAAGGAAUUUGUUUUUCAUUAGUGAUGGUGAGUUUGCACAGAUCCAUCCACACUUCCUUGCCUCAUCACUGGUGACCUUAUAAGCAAUUCGAGAGGCAGCUGACGGGGUUAGGAAUAAAAACCUCAUGCAUUCAUUUACAAAUGGAGCAGAACAAACCCCAGCUAACCAGGCUGUAGGAACUGACCACUCUUCUCACCAGCGGUGCCCAG